rnacentral:rRNA from 1 species
GUCAUGGCUCAGGACGAACGCUGGCGGCGUGCCUAACACAUGCAAGUCGAACGGACGAGGCCCCUUCGGGGACCGAGUUAGUGGCGGACGGGUGAGUAACGCGUGAGCAACCUGCCUUUCAGUGGGGGACAACAGUUGGAAACGACUGCUAAUACCGCAUGAUGCAGCGAGAUCGCAUGAUCUUGCUGCCAAAGAUUUAUUGCUGAAAGAUGGGCUCGCGUCUGAUUAG